CGAGGCGAAAGGGCGAGGCGUACGUCAGUCAAGCGGCCCGGCCAAUGCCCUCGCGCGCUGCCCUCGCGCCCGCCCCCGCCCCGGCCUCCCGGCGCCCGCGCUGCCUUCCCUCAGGCCGCCGCGGCCCGCCCGCCCGCGCUUCCAUCCGGGUCCUCGCGCGCGGCUCUCGGGCGGUGGCGGGCGGCGGGCGCGAGGGCUGGGUCGUCCCCGUGGUCGGAGGCGGGGGAUGGCGGCCUCUUCUGCGAGCUCGAGGGAAACCAGGGUUACUGAGGAGAAAGCCUUCCUGUGGUGCUCAGCUGACCGUGGACCUUCUCUUCACUGUGGGAUGAGGUAGUAGGUUGUAUAGUUUUAGGGUCACACCCACCACUGGGAGAUAACUAUACAAUCUACUGUCUUUCCUAACGUGAUAGAAAAAUCUGCAUCCCAGCGGCCUCAUAGAAAGUUGAUAACUAGUUAUACAAUAUUUUGACUUGUAUAAAAAUGCUAUAGUGCCUCAUUUUUUAUGUUUUGCAGGUUGCUUAUUCAUUUAAUGAUUAAAAACUUUAGCAAGUACACCUAGAUGGCAGUGGGGAUACUUUGUUUCUCGUUUCUGUAUAUAAGAAUAAGUAUUUUAAUUUGAUUGAUGUCAAUAAUUUUAUGUUGUAUUUUUCUUUUGAAAAAGAUAGUGUUCUCCAUUCCAGAGGAAAAGAUUGCUCUAUCAGAGUGAGGUAGUAGAUUGUAUAGUUGUGGGGUAGUGAUUUUACCCUGUUCAGGAGAUAACUAUACAAUCUAUUGCCUUCCCUGAGGAGUAGACUUGCUGCAUUUUGUCUUUAUCUAGAUGAUACUAAAACUCAGAAGAAUUAAUUUUGACAUUGUUUUGUACUCUGUAUCAGUUGCUAAUUUUCUCUUGAAGGAUAGUGUACCUACAGUAGGUAUAAUGAUCUAAUAUUUCUUACAUUUCACAUAUGGUAUGUUUCAGAAAUUUGAAAUUAAACAAAAAUCUGAGUGGAGAAAGUAAAUCUUAACGGGACUAGACCCCUUUGGAAUUAAGAAUAGGUUGAUUGCUCUGCAUCGCACUGCAUGUGUCCAGGACGAGGUCCUGGGUGGCCGUGGUAAAUACAGACUGGAAAGGCACCCUCUGAGCUGAAAUGGAGUCAGUUUGGUUGUUACUCCCAGUUUGGGGUUUUGGGUGGCCUUCGGCAAUGUUGUAAGCAAGCACUGUUUCACCAGUAUGUUGAUCUGGACAGCUUCACCUCCAGCCUGGGAAAUGAGCGAUGGGCUCUGGGUCCUACCCUUGCUCCUGGUAAGUCACAAAGACCUCAGCUUUGCCCCCAUAGGGGCCCUGCAUUCACAAAGGGAAAUCCCCUGAAGCUGUCAGAUGGGGAAAUCCAUAGUUGGUUGUUUUAAAGGAAAAUGUGAGGAUCAUGCUAGAAAGGGCUACUUGAGUUUUAAUACCCCCGAAGGCUGGUGUUUCAGCCUUCUUCAGUGGCCAAACCGUAUCCUACCUUGGGCCUUUAUAAGCAAUAUUAAAAGCUCCCUGUUUAAAGCACUUGUGUUUAUUUUGUUUUGGGAGAGGAGAAAGAGGCAACGUAUGAAGGUGAGGGAGAGGUAACCUCUUCCCAAAUGUUUCCUCCAUCUGUUCCGAAUCUUACAGUCUAAGAUAAUUCUAGUGCGUGGCCACUGGCAGCAGGAACUUUGUGUGAGAGAAAACAUCCAAUUCUCUUGGGUGGGCCCGACUCAGGUGAUCUUCUCUGGGCUGAAUUUAUGCUUUUUAUUUUAUCCCUGGGGUAUAGAUGGACACCUGCAUGGUCCAGAGUUUGUUUUUGUUAGAAAUAGGACAUACAGGGGAGGGGGGAGACUUUUUAUGUUCUUGCCUUUUGGUGUGCCGAAGAAAAGUGGGAGUGUUCAAGAAAUUAUCUUUGGCUUAAUUUUCGUGAAGCUGAUAAGGUGGGUAAUUCACUUCACUGUGUGGCUAGUGGAGUCAUGGGGUUUUGUGGUUUUGUGACACACAUAUUGCCUCUGGUCUGCACAUCCUGGCCACUCUGCAGUUGGAAUAAUUAAGGUCUGGAGAAACAUGAAUCUGUAUCUUUCAUUAAUUAACAAGGACCCACUUCAUACCCUUACUAGCCAAGCCCAGUAAGUAAAUCAAGUUGUGGAGAACUGCUACAGUCUGUGAAAGCACUUAGGUCAAAAACUCAAAUCCCGGGGCCCAGGAAGGGGGGAGCUGGCUGGAACUAGGAAACAUGUGGUGUCCAAAGAGAACUUGGUAAGUUAAUGUGCUCUAGUGGAAGGUGGCAAGCAGCAUUUACACAUACAGUGUCACCUCAUUUUCCAGUGGCUCAAGAGGGACUGGAAAUUUUGUGAAAUUAGAUAUUUAAAUUUUGGUAUUACUUUGUUUUUAAAAGUCUUUGGCUCCAAUGAUAUGUGGUGGGCUGGGAGAUACUAGGCUUCUGAGAUUUGCAUCUUAUGAUAUAAUUGCAUUUUUGUUCUUUUUAACAAGAGGUUUGUUUUUAAGCAAAUGCAUUUGUGAAUUUUACCGAGGUCAUGGCCAGUAACUUUUAUUUAAAAGCCUCAGUGAAGAAAUUCUAAUUGAUUUGAAUUUGGAAUAAAACCCAAAGAAUACGGCCUGAUUUGACAGGUUAAUUUGAAGUACAGCUGCCAAGUAGAAGACCAGCAUGGAAAAAAUGGGUUCCUAGGAAGAGGUAGUAGGUUGCAUAGUUUUAGGGCAGGGAUUUUGCCCACAAGGAGGUAACUAUACGACCUGCUGCCUUUCUUAGGGCCUUAUUAUUCCUCGGUAACCUGUUCCCUUGUCACCUUGUUUGGUGUAAGCACAGUUCUUUCUGCAAGUUUUUUUAGAAGUAAAAACAUUGCAGGAAUACCACAGGAAGCUGUGCCCGCGCUAGUGACCUAACACACCACAGCCGGUGCCAGCAUCGGUUACUACAGGUCAGCUAGUGAGAAUGUAGGACUCCGAAGAAUACCUAGUUGCUUAUGUGCCUCAUUUGGAGGUCACUGGAAAGUUUUGGAAAACGGGUUUUUUGGUUUUGGUCAAGUUACCGUUUCUGAUCUAGAAACUGCCAGCUGCUUCCCCCCUGUUAAACUUAAGGCACUGGGUCAGGCCUUCGAGACACCUGCUGUUCCCUGCACUGUGUGUGCAGAUAUUUAUCUUGCGAGGGUCUGGGUCUGGACUUAAAGUUUGGACAGCUCUUAGAGUGGUGUUGCAUGUUGGGGGAAUCCAUCAUUGUCUUGAGCACCAUUAUGGUAUGUAACCCUGUGAUUGAAUCUUAAAUGUGUGCAUGGGCGUUAAGUAUCUUUUCAAUAAAAUACUUUUAAAACUUGUGGUUCUAAAAUCAUUCUUAACUUUCAUCUCCAUCCUUGCAGAACUAGAUGUAUUUAAGUACUUAGACUUGUUUUAAGAUCUCUUAAAGUACUUAAUUUCAUUGUUUUAUGCACAGUAAUUUGCUAAUCAUACUAGUCACAGAUGUACAUUAAUAAAGCUAACGAGCCA